CAUUGUUUGGCACCUCGAUGUCGGCUCAUCGCAUCCUGGGGCUGGAGCAGGUCCCAAGGGUUUGGCUGUUCGCCAAUUAAAGCGGUACGUGAGCUGGGUUUAGAACGUCGUGAGACAGUUCGGUCCCUAUCUGCCGUGGGUGUUGGAAAUUUGAGAGGAGCUGUCCCUAGUACGAGAGGACCGGGAUGGACAUACCUCUGGUGGACCUGUUGUGGCGCCAGCCGCAUUGCAGGGUAGCUAUGUAUGGAAUGGAUAACCGCUGAAAGCAUCUAAGCGGGAAACCAGCCUCAAGACUAGAUUUCCCUAUCAGAGCCGUGGAAGACCACCACGUUGAUAGGCUGCGUGUGGAAGCAUGGCAACAUGUGAAGCUUAGCAGUACUAAUUGCUCGAUUGGCUUGAUCUU
rnacentral:rRNA from 1 species